rnacentral:rRNA from 1 species
GACGAACGCUGGCGGCGUGCUUAACACAUGCAAGUCGAACGGGAUUGAUUAGAAGCUUGCUUUUGAGAGAUCCAGUGGCAAACGGGUGAGUAACGCGUAGGCAACCUGCCUUUGGGAUGGGGACAACAGGACGAAAGCCCUGCUAAUACCGAAUGAAGUGCGUUUUCCGCAUGGGAGAUGCAUGAAAGAUGGCCUCUACAUGUAAGCUAUCACCUGAAGAUGGGCCUGCGUCUGAUUAGCUAGUUGGUGGGGCAACGGCCCACCAAGGCGACGAUCAGUAGCCGGUCUGAGAGGAUGAACGGCCACAUUGGGACUGAGACACGGCCCAGACUCC